rnacentral:rRNA from 1 species
UACGUAGGGUGCAAGCGUUAAUCGGAAUUACUGGGCGUAAAGCGUGCGCAGGCGGUUUUGUAAGCCAGAUGUGAAAGUCCCGGGCUCAACCUGGGAAUGGCAUUUGGGACUGCAAGGCUUGAGUGCGGCAGAGGAGACUGGAAUUCCUGGUGUAGCAGUGAAAUGCGUAGAUAUCAGGAGGAAUACCGGUGGCGAAAGCGACUCUCUGGACGGCAACUGACGCUGAGGCACGAAAGCGUGGGGAGCAAACAGG